rnacentral:rRNA from 1 species
UUGACGGGGACCCGCACAAGCAGCGGAGCGUGUGGUUUAAUUCGUUGCUACACGAGAACCUUACCUGGGUUUGACAUAUAGGUUGUAGGGAACUGAAAGGGACCGACCCUUCGGGGAGCCUAUACAGGUGUUGCAUGGCUGUCGUCAGCUCGUGUCGUGAGAUGUUCGGUUAAGUCCGCUAACGAGCGCAACCCUCGUCGUAUGUUAUAUGUGUCAUACGAGACUGCCGGUAAAAGCCGGAGGAAGGUGAGGAUGAUGUCAAGUCAGCAUGACCUUUAUAUCCAGGGCUACACACACGCUACAAUGGUCUGUACAAUGGGUAGCCAAGCCGCGAGGCGGAGCCAAUCCUGAAAGCAGGCCUCAGUUCAGAUUGCAGUCUGCAACUCGACUGCAUGAAGCCGGAGUUGCUAGUAACCGCAGGUCAGCAAUACUGCGGUGAAUACGUUCCCGGGUCUU